rnacentral:rRNA from 1 species
CGGACGAACGCUGGCGGCGUGCCUAACACAUGCAAGUCGAGCGAUGAAGUUCUUCGGAACGGAUUAGCGGCGGACGGGUGAGUAACGCGUGAGCAAUCUGCUUUACACAAAGGGAUAGCCUCGGGAAACUGGGAUUAAUACCAUAUGACACUUGGUAAUCGCAUGAGGACCAAGUCAAAGAUUUUAUCGGUGUAAGAUGAGCUCGCGUCUGAUUAGCUAGUUGGUGGGGUAAAGGCCUACCAAGGCGACGAUCAGUAGCCGGCCUGAGAGGGUGAACGGCCACACUGGAACUGAGACACGGUCCAGACUCCUACGGGAGGCAGCAGUGGGGAAUAUUGCACAAUGGGCGCAAGCCUGAUGCAGCGACGCCGCGUGAGCGAAGAAGGUUUUCGGAUCGUAAAGCUCUGUCCUCUGGGAAGAAAAAAAUGACGGUACCAGAGGAGGAAGCCCCGGCUAACUACGUG